GUGCACGCUGGCGGUAGGCCUAACACCUGCCAGUCGAACGGCAGCACCGUAAGAGCUUGCUCUUACGGGUGGCGAGUGGCGGACGGGUGAGGAAUACAUCGGAAUCUACUUUUUCGUGGGGGAUAACGUAGGGAAACUUACGCUAAUACCGCAUACGACCUACGGGUGAAAGCAGGGGAUCUUCGGACCUUGCGCGAUUGAAUGAGCCGAUGUCGGAUUAGCUAGUUGGCGGGGUAAAGGCCCACCAAGGCGACGAUCCGUAGCUGGUCUGAGAGGAUGAUCAGCCCCACUGGAACUGAGACACGGUCCAGACUCCUACGGGAGGCAGCAGUGGGGAAUAUUGGACAAUGGGCGCAAGCCUGAUCCAGCCAUACCGCGUGGGUGAAGAAGGCCUUCGGGUUGUAAAGCCCUUUUGUUGGGAAAGAAAAGCAGCAGGUUAAUACCCCGCUGUUCUGACGGUACCCAAAGAAUAAGCACCGGCUAACUUCGUG
rnacentral:rRNA from 1 species